ensembl:lncRNA
CAAGUUGUCAUGCUGGAGAUGAAUUGUCAGACCUAGUUUGGAAGGCUCAAAUAUUUAUUUUGGAAAAAUCUUGGAUUUACCCCUACUUCAAGUGUGGUCAGAAUACUAUGAUGACAGACUUCAUCUGAGAUGUAAGACAGGCAAGGCAGCACUUUGCCUUGGAACUCAGAAAUGGGCCAGUGAAACAAUACCAACCUCGGCUCAAUGGGUCUCAGGCUCUUGGUGAAACCCAGCAUUGUGGUAUUGGUGACCACAGAACUGACCAUCCCAUCUCCAUCUUUCCACCAACUUCAGGUAACAAACAAGGAGAAAAUCAUUGUCUCCUUGGAGGAAGCAGAGGGAAAUAUGGGCCAACAUGUUGCAUAGGAGCCUAGAGCUGGUCACUGCAAAGUAAGGACCAGUACCAGGAGGAGUAUUUUUCACCUAAACACUGGC